AUUGAACGCUGGCGGCAUGCCUUACACAUGCAAGUCGAACGGUAACAGGUCUUCGGAUGCUGACGAGUGGCGAACGGGUGAGUAAUACAUCGGAACGUGCCUGAUCGUGGGGGAUAACGAGGCGAAAGCUUUGCUAAUACCGCAUACGAUCUACGGAUGAAAGCGGGGGAUCUUCGGACCUCGCGCGGACGGAGCGGCCGAUGGCAGAUUAGGUAGUUGGUGGGAUAAAAGCUUACCAAGCCGACGAUCUGUAGCUGGUCUGAGAGGAUGAUCAGCCACACUGGGACUGAGACACGGCCCAGACUCCUACGGGAGGCAGCAGUGGGGAAUUUUGGACAAUGGGCGAAAGCCUGAUCCAGCCAUGCCGCGUGCAGGAUGAAGGCCUUCGGGUUGUAAACUGCUUUUGUACGGAACGAAAAGCCUCUUUCUAAUAAAGAGGGGUCAUGACGGUACCGUAAGAAUAAGCACCGGCUAACUACGUG
rnacentral:rRNA from 1 species